rnacentral:rRNA from 1 species
AUGCACGCUGGCGGCGUGCCUCAUACCUGCCAGUCGAGCGAACGGACGAGAAGCUUGCUUCUCUGAUGUUAGCGGCGGACGGGUGAGUAACACGUGGAUAACCUACCUAUAAGACUGGGAUAACUUCGGGAAACCGUAGCUAAUACCGGAUAAUAUUUUGAACCGCAUGGUUCAAAAGUGAAAGACGGUCUUGCUGUCACUUAUAGAUGGAUCCGCGCUGCAUUAGCUAGUUGGUAAGGUAACGGCUUACCAAGGCAACGAUGCAUAGCCGACCUGAGAGGGUGAUCGGCCACACUGGAACUGAGACACGGUCCAGACUCCUACGGGAGGCAGCAGUAGGGAAUCUUCCGCAAUGGGCGAAAGCCUAACGGAGCAACGCCGCGUGAGUGAUGAAGGUCUUCGGAUCGUAAAACUCUGUUAUUAGGGAAGAACAUAUGUGUAAGUAACUGUGCACAUCUUGACGGUACCUAAUCAGAAAGCCACGGCUAACUACGUG